AAUCCUUCGUCGAUUUAUACCCCUCCAGGCAAUGGUUAUGUGGACAGGGAGAAGAGGUCUCCUUGUGCUGAAACCAGGAUCAGUGAAACCAAAGAUCCUACUCUUCACAUAAUCGGGCGGAAAGUCUUACCUUUUAUAUUUAUUUCAGUCAUAUUCAAUAUUCAACAGUCUGUGAAAUCGCUUGCUGAGCCUCUAUCGCGAGCCGCAAAAAUUAAGUGGACCAGAACAAUAGAUCAGAUAAUGUUCGAUAUCUUGAUUGAGCAAAUAGCUUUAGGCCGAAAGGCAGAUAAUGGAUUUAAGAGAGAAGCAUAUCAUGCGGCCGCUGAGCAGGUUUCUAGGAGGACUGAAAUUUCUUUAAAUUGGCAAAACGUCCAAACCCGAUUGCGAUAUCACAAGAGAGUGUACAACGAAAUAAAAGAUAUGCUAGCCGCAAGUGGUUUUGGGUGGGACAACGAGCGAAUGGUUGUCACAGCACCUGACGAAGUUUGGAAAGAGUACCUCAAGGUUAGGAUCGUUCACAACACCUAUUUUAGUUCAACCAUAUACAUUUGUUAUAAUUAUCUCUCUUACUUAUAUCUAUUUGAAUAUCAUCUACUUACCAACUCUCUUCCUUAUAUGUAGUCGCAUCCGAGAGCAGAAAGAUUACGUGGUAAACGAAUAGAACGAAUGGACGAUUUAGCGAUGAUCGUAGGUUCAGACCAUGCAACAGGCCGCUACGCCCAAGGAAGCAGAAACAUGGCCGCAUCUUCAUCUCAUAUUCAACGAGAUCUGAAUGAAGCUUGGACGGACCUGGACGAUGACACCGAUGCGCCUAUCGAUAUUUCUGAGGAAAAUCUGGGGGAUUCGACUGGAAAUUAUCAAUUUUCGAAUGAAAGCCAUCGGGCUUCAGGGAAUCGCUCAUUCUGCACCACUCCCAACUGGGCGAUUGAUUCCGAUUGUAGUCGUGGUGGGAGUAUAACAACAAAAAGGAUGUGAUCUGCUUGUCCCUGUGACGUCCUUGGUUUAUCUCUAGAUGGUGUGGCAGAUGCAAUUGCCAAAUUUGGACUUGGCAAUUCAGUCAACCUCACAAGUAGAGUCCUGGACAUCCUCGAAGAGGUUACGGGGCUGACCAACCAUGAGUUCAUCCAGGUUGGUCAGCUUCUGAGCAAGGACAAAGAUCUAGCAUCCUUUUUCGUAAGCCUUCGACCAGAGCGAAGGGUUGAUUGGUUGAAAAAAACACUGUCUGAUAUGAAUGGUAAUGUUGGUGGGGGUUCUACUUGAUGGAUAUAUCAACCUUAAUUACGCUAUUAUAUAGGUGACUAAAUUUGAUGGGAUAUGUAAUAACUAUACUCAUACUUUUGUUGAAUUUGGUGAUACUGUAUUUUAUGAUUUUGGAUAUUCAUACUCUAUACCGCAUGCAUGACAGUAUGUUUUGGGUCAUUCUAAAAUGCCCUUUAAAGUGCGAUUAGCUUUUUAUACUUUUAUAUAUAUCCAUUGUACAACAUGCACAAUUGCGUAUCUUGGUUCUGUUUAUGUGAAUGCAGAUGGGUUCAAGUAAGUAUUACGUCGUACUCAUUGGUCAUCGACCUGGCAUAUAUAUGUCUUGGGAUGAGGCACGAUUGUGUGUAGAAGGAUACAGUGGUGCCAAACAUCGAUCCUUCAAAUCAAUCCAAGAUGCGACUGCAUGGUGGAAUUCUAACCAAGCAAGUACUAGUAAGAUAAUGACCCAGAGUUGUGAUGACGUUGAAAAACCGACCUAUGCCACUAAUUCCAUCCAAGAUAUUUCUAGAUCUAUGGUGUGCAGGAGUACCCAAACAGUUGAUACCCCCACGUGUGACUGGGAAAGACUAGCUGCAAUAGUGAUUGGCAUCCUGGUUACGUUCUUCAUAUUAUAUAUAAUCAUUGAGCUAUAGGAAAUGUGUUCCACCACUUGUUCUAACAUAGUUGUUGAUAGACAUCAGAUAGUUGAUUCCAGUACCGUUUUUCUUUGGCAUGUAUGACUCAGGGAUAUUUAUAUGUUUUAACUUUAUAUAAAUAUGUAUGUACUAAAUACUAGCUAAUCUAUUUCCAGUAACAUGUGUUUUCAUCUACUGCAUGCAUUACAUUCUUUUAACCAUCGCCCAAUAGUGGGGAGUGAAAAUAGAGUUCACAGCAUUUGGACCGGCUGUGAGAAGACAAUUUUUCAAGGACCAGGUAUGCUGUUCCAAAAUCCUAUCGAUUAUAUUAUAAGUAUAUAUAAUAUGUGCACGCAUGUGUAGAUAUACAAGUCGAUCAAUUGCAUGAGAAUGACUACUGGAUCAAUGGAGGAUCCUGCGUUAAAUUGGUAGUCAACAUGAUCUGGUAGAAGCAUAUGAAGCAGUUUACAGGGUCAAUGUAGGAUGGUUUUAAUGUUAAACCAUAUUGUCUCGUCCUUAGGUUUGACAUAAUUUCCACCAAAUAUCUACGUAUUCGUAAUUUGUGCCUAAUUUAAUUGAGUAAACAAUUUGGGAUUGAUUGCCUUGAUUCUACAUCCUUCCACAGUAAGGUCGUGCAACAUACAACCACGCAAGCCUGGAAUUAACCCUGGUAUGAAUGUACAUUUCCUUUUCACAUAACAAGUCACAACAUACUGACAUCACUCGAACAUGAACAGAUACUACUACUUGGUAGAAGAACCUGAAAGUACAUUUGACUGAGAAUAGAUGUUCUCUUCAUUGCAUUAUUAUGAAGGACAGGUUCACCACAUUGUUUAGCCGUGAUGCCGAAUCGAUGCCUAGAGUAUGGAAUGGGUUAGAAGAUAUUUCAGUUGUCACAAAAACUGCACCCUCUA